rnacentral:lncRNA from 1 species
CACAAGCGGGCGUGAGAAACCGGCCACCGCCACCCCAGGGCUUCCUGUCCCCGGAGUCCCCCGGCCGCGUGCGCCUGGGCCCCAUUGGGUCGGCCCUGGAAUGGCCUCAGGGUGAGACGACUUAGAAGCAGAAUGGGGAGGGGGCUCGUAGCUUCCUCCUCCCCGCAACCCCCCACUCAGCAGCAAACCCCAGAGCUGGGCUGGAGCUCCGUGGGAGCUAGGACUAUGUCCCCAACGACCCAGGCCGGGGACUUUUCUACCCGCGCCCUCCGUCUGCGGAGGAAGGGUCAGGGCAGCUGGCUACGUCGCGGUAAAUCUCAGGAUGUUCCCUCCUCUCUUUCUGGAACAAAAUUUCUCGAAUGCGGCCUGGGGAUCACCUUCUUCAGAAUGAAAGGAGGGGUGGUUAAGUGCUGAUUCUUGGGCCCCACCCGAAGCUACUGAAUCGGCGCUCUGGGCACCUUAGAUGAACCCGUGCGCCCGCCGUCUGAACCGUCGAGGCGCAGCGCUAGAUGCCUCAGACCGCCCGUGGGUCACAAGUGCAAAGGAGACGUCUGAGUGUCCCUGUUAAACAGGGCCCAUCGCAGGAGGCUUCCUCUCCACAGGAGCCGGCUUUGGUAGCAGUGGAUUGACCCAGAGGCAAGAGGAGAACUGAGGCCAGUCGGGGGCCAGGAAGGGAGGUUCCGGGAAGCCCAGGAGUUGAAGGCUGCAGUGAGCGAGACUGCACCCCUGCACUGUACCCUGGGUGACACAGCAAGACCCCAUCUCUCAAUAAAUAAAAAAUAAUAAAA